rnacentral:rRNA from 1 species
GGGAAACUCACCAGGUCCAGACAUAAGUAGGAUUGACAGAUUGAUAGCUCUUUCUUGAUUUUAUGGGUGGUGGUGCAUGGCCGUUCUUAGUUGGUGGAGUGAUUUGUCUUGUUAAUUCCGUUAACGAACGAGACCUUAACCUGCUAAAUAGUUGUGCCAACUUUGGUUGGCAUCGACUUCUUAGAGGGACUAUGGAUUUUUAAUCCAUGGAAGUUUGAGGCAAUAA